GCUAUUUUGGCAGAAAAGUGCUAUAAAUUUAGAAUUUAUGAAUAUAGAUUUAGUCUAUAAAUAGUA
rnacentral:tRNA from 1 species